rnacentral:rRNA from 1 species
CUACGGGUGGCUCCAGGCGAGAAAACUUUGCAAUGUGCGAAAGCACGACAAGGUUAAUCCGAGUGGUUUGUGCUAAACGAACCUUUUGACAGUCCUAGAAACACUGUUGAAUAAGGGGUGGGCAAGUUCUGGUGUCAGCCGCCGCGGUAAAACCAGCACCUCAAGUGGUCAGGAUGAUUAUUGGGCCUAAAGCAUCCGUAGCCGGCUCUGUAAGUUUUCGGUUAAAUCUGUACGCUCAACGUACAGGCUGCCGGGAAUACUGCAGAGCUAGGGAGUGGGAGAGGUAGACGGUACUCGGUAGGAAGGGGUAAAAUCCUUUGAUCUAUUGAUGACCACCUGUGGCGAAGGCGGUCUACCAGAACACGUCCGACGGUGAGGGAUGAAAGCUGGGGGAGCAAACCGGAUUAGAUACCCGAGUACUC